UAGGGAAUAUUGCACAAUGGGGGAAACCCUGAUGCAGCGACGCCGCGUGAGUGAUGAAGGCCUUCGGGUCGUAAAGCUCUGUCGUAUGGGACUAACAAAAUGAAGGUACCAUGCAAGAAAGGAUCGGCUAACUUCGUGCCAGCAGCCGCGGUAAGACGAGGGAUCCUAGCGUUGUUCGGAAUUAUUGGGCGUAAAGCGGGUGUAGGCGGACUUAUAAGUCAGGUGUGAAAUCCCAGGGCUCAACCCUGGAAGUGCACUUGAUACUGCAAGUCUUGAGUGUGGUAGAGGCUAUUAGAAUUCCUGGUGUAGUGGUGAAAUACGUAGAUAUCAGGAGGAAUACCGGAGGCGAAGGCGGAUAGCUGGGCCAACACUGACGCUGAGACCCGAAAGCGUGGGGAUCAAACAGGAUUAGAUACCCGAGUAGUCCCUGAGCGGGCUGGCAAGGCGCAU
rnacentral:rRNA from 1 species